GAUGAAGAUAAAGGCUGCGGUGCAUCAGAGUAGUAUGGGGACAAGACAUUGGUUGAAGCAUAUGAAAGGUAAUCAUCGCCGAAAGAAUGUCAUGGUAGUGAUAUUCUUGGGGAUUAGUGAAAGACAUUAAUCACUCCUUCGUAAGAAGAGGCGUUAUCUGUAAA
rnacentral:ncRNA from 1 species